CCUACGGGGGGCUGCAGUGGGGAAUAUUGGACAAUGGGCGAAAGCCUGAUCCAGCCAUGCCGCGUGUGUGAAGAAGGCCUUCGGGUUGUAAAGCACUUUCAGUGGGGAAGAAAGCCUUGGGGCUAAUACCCUCGAGGAAGGACAUCACCCACAGAAGAAGCACCGGCUAACUCCGUGCCAGCAGCCGCGGUAAUACGGAGGGUGCGAGCGUUAAUCGGAAUUACUGGGCGUAAAGCGCGCGUAGGCGGUCUGAUAAGCCGGUUGUGAAAGCCCCGGGCUCAACCUGGGAACGGCAUCCGGAACUGUCAGGCUAGAGUGCAGGAGAGGAAGUUAGAAUUCCCGGUGUAGCGGUGAAAUGCGUAGAGAUCGGGAGGAAUACCAGUGGCGAAGGCGGCCUUCUGGACUGACACUGACGCUGAGGUGCGAAAGCGUGGGUAGCAAACAGGAUUAGAUACCCGGGUAGUC
rnacentral:rRNA from 1 species